rnacentral:rRNA from 1 species
UAGGUCGACCCGCUGAAUUUAAGCAUAUCACUAAGCGGAGGAAAAGAAACUAACCAGGAUUCCCCUAGUAACGGCGAGUGAAGAGGGAAAAGCCCAGCACCGAAGCCUGCGGCAGUUUUGCUGUUAGGCAAUGUGGUGUUUGGGUCGGCUCGUGGGAUCGCCACUCCACUCGAAGUCCAGCAUUGAGUAUGGUUACUGGAUUUGGCCCAGAGAGGGUGAAAGGCCCGUACGGGUGGAGGUUCAGACAUGUGAGAGGCGGUUCACCAGGUCGACCUUAGAGUCGGGUUGUUUGGGAAUGCAGCCCAAAGUGGGUGGUAAACUCCAUCCAAGGCUAAAUACAAGCACGAGUCCGAUAGCGAACAAGUACCGUGAGGGAAAGUUGAAAAGUACUCUGAAGAGAGAGUAAACAGUACGUGAAACCGCAUGCAGGUAAACGGGUGGCGUCAAGCUGCAAGCCCAGAGGAUUCAGCCGACUAGGAUGUAGUGUAUGCGCCUGGCGCAUCUAUCAGCCGGAGUAGGAUUGGAUGGUCCACUGGAAAACGGUGGGCUCGGCGGUGCCUCUGGGUUCCGUCGGGAUGUGUGUACCGGGUGGGUGCCGGAGCAUGCCGUCCGUCUGGGGGCUGUCUAGUCGGUGCACUUUCUCUGUGGUGAACACCACGACCGGUGGUAUUGCCAGUCUGCUGUGUCCAAGUUGUGCUCGGUAGGUCCUUUUGUGGCCGACUGGGUGCAGCGAUCACGCGCAAAUUCAGUAAACGGCGUAGAGGUGUUUCGGCAUUUCUGCGUGCUAUCGGCUACUGGUUGUGAACGGGCCUGCUCUUUGGUGCUUGUUGUAGUCGUCGGCACCCCGGGGUGGUCUGGUGGGACAUGGUGGUAGGAAUAACUGUGCAGGGCACCGGAGUUCUCGGCCUCAAAUGCAUUCUGCGCCCAGGCUACAACUGGUAGUAGUUGAUGGUGGUGCCGUUGCUGUUUGCCCGGUGUUGGGUCUGAUCGUCGUGUUGUCUGCGAAAAGUGGACCCGGCGGUGGCUCGACUCGGGAUGGGCAGUUGGCGGUGUUGCUAGUGCUGCUGUUGCUGCAGAGUGCUGUGGGCCCAAUAGUCAGUGGUGUAGUGGUAGACGAGCUACCCGACCCGUCUUGAAACACGGACCAAGGAGUUUAACGUGUAUGCAAGUCAAUGGGCCGUACGAAACCCAAAGGCGCAGUGAAAGUGAAGCUCCGACUCGUCUCGGAGUGAGGUGAGAUCCUGCUGUUACUCGCAUCAGUCUAAUGUGUUGUCAGCAUCAGGCUACUAAGAGCAGUAGGCGCAUCACCGGCCCGUCCCAUGACGUGGUCAUUGGAUGUCUGCGGUGUGUCUUCUUCUUCUUCGUCUGCUCUGUUUCCUCUUUCGGGGGGAGACUGGGUGGGUGGGUGGAGGGGGUUGAGACGCCGUGGUGCCGCCAAUGCGUCGUCGGGGCGGUGCAUGAGCAUACACGUUGAGACCCGAAAGAUGGUGAACUAUGCUUGCGUAGGUUGAAGCCAGAGGAAACUCUGGUGGAGGACCGCAGCGAUUCUGACGUGCAAAUCGAUCGUCAAACGUGAGCAUAGGGGCGAAAGACUAAUCGAACCAUCUAGUAGCUGGYUCCCUCCGAA